rnacentral:miRNA from 1 species
UGACUGCAGAGCCCAAGGGA